CAGGCAGUUUGGCAAAAAUGUGAGCUGGGCCUACAGGUAGCUUACAUGGAGGAAGAUGACAUUCAUAAGUUCGUAAGAAAGUUGAUGUCGCUCCCAUUUCUUCCCGCGGCUGAUGUCUCAAGGCUAUUCCAGAAGAUAUCUGAUCGGGUUCGCACUCAUGACAAGCUGCGAUAACUGACUGACUACUUUGAGAGCUGGCACAGGCGAAUGAAUAACAAGGUGGGAGAGCAGUCAUUGGGACUCUGCAUGCAUACCAGAGCUCCACCGUGAGGCCAGCCCCCUACCCCUCCAGACCAGGCUCAUUCAAGAAGGAAGACUGAAGGCGUACAUCCACAAGUCAUCAUCAGCCAGGCAGGAGGAGGUAUUCGAACUGUGGAAUUUGUUCAAGGAUGGUGACAUGUCUCUGUCACAACUUCUCUCAAGAUGUGCAGCUAUCCGGCCAUGGACCAAUCUUUCAGUGAAUUCAUGCAAUGCAUGAAAAGAGUCCUUACAUUCUUACAGGGAUUUAUAAUGUGUUAUG